GGUCUAUUCUGCAAGAUUUGUAUACAGUAGGACAUAUAAAUUUCAACAAGGAAUAUUGAGACCGUUUACAUUUAAAGAAAUUACUUUAACAGUGUUAUCCAUUACUAAAUUGUGAUCGUUAGCAGGCUGUUGGCCUAGUAUAUCAUUGAAUAUUGCUCGACUGUUUGUUUCAGAAUCGGCUGGUUUAUCGACUCAGGAAGGCCUCUCACUCUUAAAUUGCAUCGUCGCCCUCUAUUAUCAAGGUCCUCAACUCUGCGGGCAGAGUUUUAAGAUAUGAAAGAGUACCUUGAUCUGUAUUAAUGGAUUCACAUUCAGAGUCUGCGUCUGUGCCAUCCGGUUUGCCUGUCUCUGAGCUACCCUCGUGUGCGUCGCUGUCUUGCUCCGCUGGUGUUAGAAACUUUUUCAGAAACUUCUGUGAUUCGGAGAAGACAAUUCAGGAUGGAUGCCACCUGACAGAUGAAACAUGGUGCCCUGCUCAGAAGCUGGUGCCACUGGCCUUGAUUAGUAAUUGGUGCCAUCUUUAUUUCCGGGCAGGUACACUGAAGAUGAAUGAGAUUAAUACAGUGAAGUGAUGUGUUAAAAUUGUGCCAAUCAAAUGCUAAAAUGAAGACAGAAUUCAACAUAAACAGUUCAACUGGUCACAUAUAUACAUAUACAUAUAUUAGCUUCAUUAUGUGGUAUGCACAGGCAAAUAUUCUGAAUUCUAGAUUUUUUUUUAAAAAUUAAGGCUUUCAGUACAUGGCAAAUAUAAGGGAGACUAUGCUAAGUUUAUAUGACUGUUGAGAGGGUGUCGUUUAAUAUCUAUGCAUCAAAAAUAGUAUAAACAUAUACUAUAUAUAUAUAUUUAAUUGGAUUUGAUGGGACCUGUUUUGCAAGAGAAGACCAUAAAACUGCCAUAAACUGCAAUAUUUAUAGUAAAAGAAUUAACAGUUGUUGCUGUCGCACAUAUAAAGAAUUUCAUACAUGUCUAUCCAAGUUUUAUUACUCUUAAUUUUUGGGUUCUUUGGCUUUUAUUUUUUUUAAAGGUUUACUGUCAUCUAUAAUAGUUCGAAUGUUCUGCUUUUGGUCUCUGGGUUAUGAAUCUUACAUCAGGAAAAUGCACUUUGGAAAUCAAAAUAAAACCAAAGUACU